rnacentral:rRNA from 1 species
CCUACGGGAGGCAGCAGUAGGGAAUCUUCCACAAUGGGCGAAAGCCUGAUGGAGCAACGCCGCGUGGGUGAAGAAGGUCUUCGGAUCGUAAAACCCUGUUGUUAGAGAAGAAAGUGCGUGAGAGUAACUGUUCACGUUUCGACGGUAUCUAACCAGAAAGCCACGGCUAACUACGUGCCAGCAGCCGCGGUAAUACGUAGGUGGCAAGCGUUAUCCGGAUUUAUGGGGCGUAAAGGGAACGCAGGCGGUCUGUUAAGUCUGAUGUGAAAGCCUUCGGCUUAACCGGAGUAGUGCAUUGGAAACGGGGAGACUUGAGUGCAGAAGAGGAGAGUGGAACUCCAUGUGUAGCGGUGAAAUGCGUAGAUAUAUGGAAGAACACCAGUGGCGAAAGCGGCUCUCUGGUCUGUAACUGACGCUGAGGUUCGAAAGCGUGGGUAGCAAACAGGAUUAGAUACCCGUGUAGUC